rnacentral:rRNA from 1 species
AGUCGAGCGAGAAAGGGGGGGGCAACUCCCCUGAGUAGAGCGGCGCACGGGUGAGUAACGCGUGGGUAACCUACCCCCAGGCGGGGGAUAACCACUCGAAAGGGUGGCUAAUACCGCAUGAGACCACGGGAUUUUCGGAUCCUGAGGCCAAAGGCUGCAUCGGCUUGCCGGUGUAGUCACCAGGGGAUGGGCCCGCGUCCGAUUAGCUAGUUGGUGGGGUAACGGCUCACCAAGGCUUCGAUCGGUAGCUGGUCUGAGAGGAUGAUCAGCCACACUGGAACUGAAACACGGUCCAGACUCCUACGGGAGGCAGCAGUGAGGAAUAUUGCGCAAUGGGGGAAACCCUGACGCAGCAACGCCGCGUGGGUGAAGAAGGCCUUCGGGUCGUAAAGCCCUUUCGGACGGGACGAACGCUCCGCGGGGACAAGCCGCGGAGUCUGACGGUACCGUAGGAAGAAGCACCGGCUAACUCCGUGCCAGCAGCCGCGGUAAUACGGAGGGUGCGAGCGUUGUUCGGAAUUACUGGGCGUAAAGCGCGUGUAGGCGGCCUUGUAAGCCAGACGUGAAAGCCCUCGGCUUAACCGGGGAAGUGCGUCUGGAACUGCUUGGCUUGAGUACGGGAGAGGGAGGCGGAAUUCCCAGUGUAGAGGUGAAAUUCGUAGAUAUUGGGAGGAACACCGGUGGCGAAAGCGGCCUCCUGGACCGAUACUGACGCUGAGACGCGAAAGCGUGGGGA